AUGGCCUGGGCCCCUCUCCUCCUCGCGGUGCUCGCCCACACCUCAGGUUCCCUGGUCCAGGCUGCAACGACUCAGCCGUUCUCGAAGUCGGUGAACCCGGGAGACACCGUGCAGAUCACCUGCUCCGGGGGUAGCGCUGACAGUAAUGGCAAAUAUUGGUAUGGCUGGUACCAGCAGAAGACUCCUGGCACUGGCCCUGUCACCGUGAUCUAUAGCAAUGACAAGAGACCCUCGGGCAUCCCUUCGCGAUUCUCUGGUUCCUUGUCUGGCUCCACGGCCACGUUAACCAUCACUAGUGUCCAAGCCGAGGAUGAGGCCGUCUAUUACUGUGGGAGCAGGGACAGCAAUACUAAAUUGACACAGUGA